UGAUGUGAGAUAUCUCAUGUUGACAGAAGAGAGAGAGCACAACCCGGGAAUGGCUAAAGGAGUCUUUGCCUUUGUUGGGAGUGUGCCCUCUCUUCCUCUGUCAUCAUCACAUUCACAUGC
rnacentral:pre_miRNA from 1 species